rnacentral:rRNA from 1 species
GUCUACAGCCAUGCCACCCUGAACAAGCCCGAUCCUGUUUGAUCUCGGAAGCUAAGCAGGGUGGGGCCUGGUUAGUACUUGGAUGAGAGACCACCUAGGAAGACCAGGUGCUGUAGGCA